rnacentral:rRNA from 2 species
GUGCGAGACCGAUAGCGAACAAGUACCGUGAGGGAAAGAUGAAAAGAACUUUGAAAAGAGAGUUAAAGAGUACCUGAAACUGUUGAAAGGGAAUCGUAUCGUUUCCAGUGUCUUAUCCUUUGCAUAUUUCAUUGGCGGAUGCUAGUACGUGGGUUAUGGGGGAGUCGUUCAUUCGGCACUCUGUUUUCUAUGUUGCUGGUGUUUGCUGGUGCCCUGUGCAUUGGUGUGACGUCAGAGUCAGUUUGUACGCCGUGGGAGAUGGCUGUUGAGGAGGUAUUCCAUUCAUGUAUUUGUUUGGUUGUUAUAUCUCAGCAGUUAGUAGUCAUGGUUGAGACUGAGGUGCCUAC